UCAACAUGACCAUAAUGGUCAGUUGACCCCUUAAGGAGUUAUUGCCCUUUAUAUUCAAUUUUUGACAAUUUUCAUUAAUUUGGUAAAUUUUGGUAAGUUUUUACAAAAUAUUUUCCUCUGUAACUAAAGGGCCAAAUUCAUUACAGAUAGAGAAAAUUGUAAGUAGCAAGGAUGAUCAGUAAAGUAUGAUCUACAAACACAUCACCAAAACACUAUUUUGUCAUGAAUCCAUAUGUUUCCUUUGUUUAAUAUGCACAUAGACCAAGGUGAGCGACACAGGCUGUUAAGAGCCUC
rnacentral:lncRNA from 1 species